rnacentral:tRNA from 1 species
AGCCCUGAGGUGAAAUAUCAUAUUGAAUUGCAAAUUCGAAGGAGCAGCUUCAACCUCUGCCGGGGCUU